rnacentral:rRNA from 1 species
GGGCCCGCACAAGCGGUGGAGUAUGUGGUUUAAUUCGAUGCAACGCGAAGAACCUUACCAGGGUUUGACAUCCUGCGAAUCUCUUGGAAACAGGAGAGUGCCUUCGGGAACUCUGAGACAGGUGCUGCAUGGCUGUCGUCAGCUCGUGUUGUGAGAUGUUGGGUUAAGUCCCGCAACGAGCGCAACCCCUAUCCUUAGUUACCAGCACUUCGGGUGGGAACUCUAAGGAUACUGCCAGUGACAAACUGGAGGAAGGCGGGGACGACGUCAAGUCAUCAUGGCCCUUACGACCAGGGCUACACACGUGCUACAAUGGUAGGUACAGAGGGCAGCUACACAGCGAUGUGAUGCGAAUCUCAAAAAGCCUAUCGUAGUCCAGAUUGGAGUCUGCAACUCGACUCCAUGAAGUAGGAAUCGCUAGUAAUCG